GCCGUCUUAGCUCAGUGGUAGAGC
rnacentral:siRNA from 1 species